AUUUGACCAUUCGAAAAAAAAAUCAGAAAAGGAAAGAAAAAAAAGAGACAGAGAUCUAGAACGGUCUCUUCACCGACAAAAGAAGAGAUGAAGAGAAAUCUUUGGUCGAUGGUGAAAAUCAAAGGUGUACGACUCUGUAUGAGUAAAUACCAAAUCAGAAUCUCGAAAUCUUUCUGUACAUGAAAAUCGGUUGAUUCUGAUGAUAGAUCUUAGUCUAGCGAACAUAAAAUCACCGACAGCUCCCUAGAAUCGGUUACAUGAAAGACGCUUACGGAUGUUCCAUCGAUCCGUUCAGUGGUAUAAGAUGACUUAUCGGUUGAUUCUGAUGAUAGAUCUUAGUCGAGCGGUCUUCGAUCAGAACUGAUUUUGACUAUUCCCUGAUAGAGUCGGAAACACCUCAGCAAGCACGAGCUUCUCAGAUGUCAAGCUCGUACUGUCCAUCGUCUUGCUCAAAACCUGGAGAGCGAUGUUCAUCAUUUUUACAUCUAGUCUGUUGUACACAACAGUAUGAUGACGAAGGACACGACGGGUCCUAUCCAAGCAAAGUUGAUCUCCAAUUCUCAAAGUUCCUUGUCCUAUCCAAGCAAAGCCUUACAGUACACAGAUAAGUAUCCAACUAUGGAUUUAAUUUUUGGGUUAUACAUGAGAAACAGUAUAUGUUUUAUAGUUAGUGAGUUGACUUAAUAGUAUAGAUACAAUUCAUGUAAAGGUCGAGCAGUCAAAGGUUUAGAGACAAAAGCUUUAUUCAUUUUAAGGACAUGGGACAGAGACAUGGCUGCAAAGCAAUACAAACCCAAGGUAUAGGAUUUGAGAAGAUGAUUUGAUGGGUUUGUUACGGUAUACAGAUCGAGAAACGGUAUUGGGCUUGAUGAUUUCUGUUUGGUCAGAAUUGUAAAACAAAUCAAAUACAGAUGGGCUAUAACGUUAUAGAGCUGAGAAAUUGUAGAUGAAUUUUUUUUCUUACAAAUUCGGGGGACUAUUUAUAUAUAAUGUUUUUCAAAAAAAUUUGGGGCUUAAGGCGAAUGUUUCAUCCGGUUUAGCCCUUAACCGGGCCUUCUAGAGAUACACAAGUCAUUCAAGAUUUAA